rnacentral:rRNA from 1 species
AACGAACGCUGGCGGCAGGCUUAACACAUGCAAGUCGAGCGCCCCGCAAGGGGAGCGGCAGACGGGUGAGUAACGCGUGGGAAUCUACCCAUCUCUACGGAAUAACGCAUGGAAACGUGUGCUAAUACCGUAUACGUCCUUCGGGAGAAAGAUUUAUCGGAGAUGGAUGGGCCCGCGUUGGAUUAGCUAGUUGGUGGGGGAAAGGCCUACCAAGGCGACGAUCCAUAGCUGGUCUGAGAGGAUUAUCAGCCACACUGGGACUGAGACACGGCCCAGACUCCUACGGGAGGCAGCAGUGGGGAAUAUUGGACAAUGGGCGCAAGCCUGAUCCAGCCAUGCCGCGUGAGUGAUGAAGGCCCUAGGGUUGUAAAGCUCUUUCACCGGUGAAGAUAAUGACGGUAACCGGAGAAGAAGCCCCGGCUAACUUCGUGCCAGCAGCCGCCGUAAGAC